UUAAGGAUCUGGUGUUGCCGUGGCUGUGAUGUAGGCCGGCAGCUGCAGGGCCGAUGCGACCCCUAGCCCAGGAACUUCCCUAUGCUGCAGGUGUGGUGGUAAAAAGGAAAAAAAGAAAAAGAGAACAAGAGAGAAGUUGCUCAGUUCAGGGAAAGAAAUAUCUCUUCAGAAUGGAAUCUGUGAGGGGAGAGAAGAGAAAUGGGUGAGAUGGGGGAAUCCGGAGAGCGUGCCUGUGACAGCCCCCACCCCCACCUCCACUCCCACACGCCCCCACCUCCUGGGUCCUGCGUGAUCCCCUCCCCCUGCAUGUUGGCUUGAACUAGAGCCUUCUUCUCACCAUGACAGCACAGCAGAGGUGAUGGGUUGUCCCUGCUGUGAGUAGGUUACAAUUUUUUGUGUCUUUGUCCUGCCUUGUAGAUAAGCGAGAGAUUCCUGCUGUCCUUAUAAACGCAAACCACUGUUUGUAAACUGCAUAAAGACUGGUCCCUGUGGCCAGGACCAUCCAUUCUGGGGGAAAUCCUUCACCUAAUCUGGAUAAGUGGUGUGAAUCUAGCUCUUCCGGGGAAGCAGGUAUCAUAUAGGGUGGAAACAAAGAGAACUGGAGGCCCAGACAAGGCAGAGAAUCAUAUUAGUUGCUGCUGCCCUUCUUGGAGGGCAGAAAUGCACCUCCAAGUGAGGCUGGGUGAGGCUUUGCUUUUGAGGAGGCUUCCAACUUGGGUGAGGAGUCAGAACAUGUUGGCCAUCAGACAGUAGGUGAUCUGUCUGAUGGCCAACAUCAUACAUCCAUGGGUGGAAAACAAGCCAUUGAAAUCAUGUUUUUGAUAUUUUGUAGCAAGGUUUAACAGCAUUCAGAAAAAUACCAGUUAUUUUAAGGAGCAGGACAGAGACUUCAUCACACAACCCUGAUUUGCAGCAUAGAAUACAUGGUAGCUCCCUACAGAUUUCGUACACGUGUUGUGUAUACAUACAAACACAGACAGUAUCUUCCUACAUGCUGCACACACACAGACAGACACAAUGUGGUAGCGCUCUCUCUCUCUCUCUCUCUCUUCUGUGGUGGGAAGGACAGGGUGGAUAUUCACAUGGAAGCAAAACCCAUCCUUCAAGGCCUAGGUUCUCCAGAAGCACUCCCUGAUGGGGCGGGAAGGUGGGAGGGCUCACGGGAACACUGCUUCAUCCCACACUGCCCUGUAACCUAGCACUGCCCAUGAUGCUCUGUUCAAGAAGGCAGGCCACAGGCACUAUUUUUUCCACCAAGAAUGAUGAUUCUUUCUUAUGAUAAAAGAUAAUAGGAGAAAAAGAUUAUUUAUGUAUGUUUAUAUUAUGUAUAUAUUAUAUAUAUAUAUAUAUAUAAAUAACUGGGCCACUUUACUGUGCAGAAGAAAUUGAUAGAAAUUAUAAAUCAACUGUAAUAAAAAAAAUUUUUUUAAAGAAUGCUGAUUGUUU
rnacentral:lncRNA from 1 species